rnacentral:rRNA from 1 species
UACGGAGGGUGCAAGCGUUGUCCGGAAUCACUGGGCGUAAAGGGCGCGUAGGCGGCUCGGUAAGUCGGGGGUGAAAUCCUGCGGCUUAACCGCAGGGCUGCCUUCUAAACUGUCGAGCUUGAGCACGGUAGAGGCAGAUGGAAUUCCCGGUGUAGCGGUGGAAUGCGUAGAGAUCGGGAAGAACAUCAGUGGCGAAGGCGGUCUGCUGGGCCGUUGCUGACGCUGAGACGCGAAAGCGUGGGGAGCGAACAGG